rnacentral:rRNA from 1 species
GACGAACGCUGGCGGCGUGCUUAACACAUGCAAGUCGUACGGUAAGGCCCUUUCGGGGGUACACGAGUGGCGAACGGGUGCGUAACACGUGAGUAACCUGCCCACAACUUUGGGAUAACGCUAGGAAACUGGUGCUAAUACUGGAUAUGUGCUCCUUCUGCAUGGUGGGGGUUGGAAAGCUCCGGCGGUUGUGGAUGGACUCGCGGCCUAUCAGCUUGUUGGUGGGGUAGUGGCCUACCAAGGCGGCGACGGGUAGCCGGCCUGAGAGGGUGACCGGCCACAUUGGGACUGAGAUACGGCCCAGACUCCUACGGGAGGCAGCAGUGGGGAAUAUUGCACAAUGGGCGCAAGCCUGAUGCAGCAACGCCGCGUGCGGGAUGACGGCCUUCGGGUUGUAAACCGCUUUCAGCAGGGACGAAGCUUUUUGUGACGGUACCUGCAGAAGAAGCACCGGCUAACUACGUG